rnacentral:rRNA from 1 species
GAGUUUGAUCAUGGCUCAGGAUGAACGCUGGCGGCGUGCCUAACACAUGCAAGUCGAGCGAUUCUCUUCGGAGAAGAGCGGCGGACGGGUGAGUAACGCGUGGGUAACCUGCCCUGUACACACGGAUAACAUACCGAAAGGUAUGCUAAUACGAGAUAAUAUGCUUUUAUCGCAUGGUAGAAGUAUCAAAGCUUUUGCGGUACAGGAUGGACCCGCGUCUGAUUAGCUAGUUGGUAAGGUAACGGCUUACCAAGGCGACGAUCAGUAGCCGACCUGAGAGGGUGAUCGGCCACAUUGGAACUGAGACACGGUCCAAACUCCUACGGGAGGCAGCAGUGGGGAAUAUUGCACAAUGGGCGAAAGCCUGAUGCAGCAACGCCGCGUGAGCGAUGAAGGCCUUCGGGUCGUAAAGCUCUGUCCUCAAGGAAGAUAAUGACGGUACUUGAGGAGGAAGCCCCGGCUAACUACGUGCCAGCAGCCGCGGUAAUACGUAGGGGGCUAGCGUUAUCCGGAAUUACUGGGCGUAAAGGGUGCGUAGGUGGUUUCUUAAGUCAGAGGUGAAAGGCUACGGCUCAACCGUAGUAAGCCCUUUGAAACUGGGAAACUUGAGUGCAGGAGAGGAGAGUGGAAAUUCCUAGUGUAGCGGUGAAAUGCGUAGAUAUUAGGGAGGAACACCAGUUGCGAAGGCGGCUCUCUGGACUGUUAACUGACACUGAGCACGAAAGCGUGGGGGGAGCAAACAGGAAUUAGAUACCCUGGGUAGUCCACCGCCGUAAAACGAAUGAGUACUAGCUGUUCGGAGGUUUACCCCCUCGUUGCGCAGCCUUACGCAUAGGUACUCCGCCUGGAAAGUACGCCUCGCAGGAGUGAACUCAAUGGAACUGACCGGAACCGAAGUAGCGGGACUAUGGUAAUUACGAGCACGCGGAA